CAAUAGCGUAUAUUAAAGUUGUUGCAGUUAGAACGCUCGUAGUCGGAUUUCGGGGCGGGCCGACCGGUCUGCCGAUGGGUAUGCACUGGUCGGCGCGUCCUUCCUUCCGGAGACCGUCCCUACUCUUAACUGAGCGGGGGCGGGAGACGGGACUUUUACUUUGAAAAAAUCAGAGUGUUUCAAGCAGGCAGCUCGCUCUUGCAUGGAUUAGCAUGGGAUAAUGAAAUAGGACUUUGGUGCUAUUUUGUUGGUUUCGAACACUGAAGUAAUGAUGAGAAGGGACAGUCAGGGGCACUCGUAUUCCGCCGAGAGAGGUGAAAUUCUCAGACCAGCGGAAGACGAACCACUGCGAAAGCAUUUGCCAGGGAUGUUUUCACUGA
rnacentral:rRNA from 1 species